GAGGUCUGAAUUUCUCCUUCUACUGAAGAAUGAGGAGCACCAUCCCCACACACUCCAUCCCCCAUCCCCACAUAGGGUUCUACCACCUUCCAUACUAGUACCAGAAGAGGCAGGUGAUGGGUUGGCCACGUCCAAGACAACAAUGGCUUAAUUAUUAUGUGUGACUCAUGCUUCGGGAACCUGUUGGCCAGGCAGCUGGACCUGUAAGGCUUGAGGGCGCUGGCUGUGUGUCAGAAGGAGAAGGUCCAGCAGCUGGGAGGCCAGAUGUCAGAGAGGCUGGAGUCGGUGGUCCUGGGCCUCCCUAAGACAGAGAACAUCUCUGCAGCCACCCAGUGGGGGAAGGAGUGUGUGAGGGCGGAGGUCUUUGCCCAGAGCUCCUGCACAUACUGGUACAAUGGAGCAUAUGCGAGUUGGAGUCUGGAUACCUGCAAAACAUUCCAGCUCCACUCUGUGUGACCUCAGGUAUAUAAUGGUCUCCUUGUUGCUCAGCAAGAAAAUGCUUCAGAUGGCAAUGUUGGAUAGAAAUCUCUGCCCCACCUCCACUCUCUCCUUCUUUUCCCUCCUCCCUCUCUCAUUCUUCUUUACUUCUGAAUGG